UUCCGCCAGAGGGGACCCUCGCCCCAUUGGCUGCUCGCCUCUACCGCCCGGCCAACCAGCUGCAGCCGAUGCUCAGCCAGCCGGCCUCUUUCAAUAGGUUUGUCUUGCUAUUGGCUGCUUCCUUCUCCGACUCCGCCCACUAGCAGCACCUAUUACUUCGCCAGCCGGCCUCUUUCAAUAGCUUCGUCUUCCUAUUGGCUACUCCCUUCUCCGGCCCCGCCCACUGACGACAGCUUUCGCUUUUCCUUUAGGCCUUCUUCUUAUUGGCUACUCCCUUCUCCUGCCCCGCCCACUGACGACAGCUUUCGCUUUUCCUUUAGGCCUUCUUCUCAUUGGCUGUUCCCUUCUCCGGCCCCGCCCACUGGCGACAGCUUUCGCUUUUCCUUUAGGCCUUCUACUCAUUGGCUGUUCCCUUAGCCAGCCCAGCCAAUCAACAGCAGCCAUUGCUCAGCCAGCCGGCCUCUUUCAAUAGCUUCCUCUUCCCAUUGGCUGCUCUCUUCUCCGGCCCCGCCCACUGGCGACAGCUAUGGCUUUUCCUCGAGGCUCCUCGCAGGCCCAGCCAACCAACAGCAGCCAUUGCUCCGCCUCAUCCAUGAAGUCUUCUUCCCAUUGGUUCCCAUUGGCGCCCUUCUCCGUCCCAGCCAACCAGCACCAGCCAUUUCUCCUCCUCGUCACAGGCCUCCUUCCCAUUGGCUGUUCCCUUCUCCGGCCCCGCCCACAGCAGCCAUGGGCGAAGAUGGCGGCGCGGAAAGCGAGGCCGCGGCGCUGCGGCGUUUCCUGGCGGCGCACCCGGCCUUGGGCGCGCUCCCCUCCGGGAACAGGGUGCGCUGCGCCCUGACCGGCCACGAGCUCCCACUCCACCUCCCGGCGCUGGAGGCCUACGUCGCGGGGAAGAAGUACCGCCGGCUCCGCGGGAGAGAGGCCGACCUCGGGCCCCACGCGAAGCACCUCGUGCCCAGCCGCACCCGGCCGUGAGUACUAAUAAUAUUGCGUGAUAGUGGAAUGUUAUGCUAAUAUUGUGCUAGGCUAAUAAUAUAUUGUAUGCACAAAUAAUAUUGAUAAUCAUAUUAUAAUGUAAUAUAAUAAUACACUAUUGUAAUUCUGUAUUAUAUAUUACAUAUAAUAUUACUAAUAAUAUUGCGUUAUAGGGUAUAUGAUGCUAAUAUUAUGCCAUACUAAUAUGAUAUAUUGUAUAUACAUAUUUAUUUAUUACAAUAUUUAUAUCCCGCCCUCCUCACCCAACAGGGGACUCAGGGCGGCUUACAAUAAAACACACAUAUAAAACCUGUACAAUAAACUAUAAAUCAGUUAAAAAUUAACUUACAUAAAACAUUCAUAAAACGCAUUAUAAAAUACAGACAGGCGUGUUCAAGUUUAAAAGACUGGGUCUGUCAGUUGAGUUCCAUAUAAUAUUGACAAUAUAAUUUAGUAUAAUAUAAUAAUAAUACACUAUUAUAAUUGUAUAUUAUAUACUACAUGUAAUAUUACUAAUAAUGCAGUAUAGUCAUAUAGUACAAUACAGUAAUAUUUAAUGCUUAUAUUGUGCUAUGCUAAUAAUAUAUUGUAUGUAGAUAUUUAUUUAUUUUAUUUAUUUACAGUAUUUAUAUUCCGCCCUUCUUUCUCUCCCCGAAGGGGACUCAGGGCGGAUCACAUUACACAUAUAGGCAAACAUUCAAUGCCUUUUAACAUAGAACAAAGACAAGACAAACAUAGGCUCCGAGCGGGCCUCGAACUCAUGACCUCCUGGUCAGAGUGAUUCAUUGCAGCUGGUUACAGCUGGCUUGCUCUCCAGCCUGACGCCACAGCGCGAGCCCAUAUAACUUGUAAGCCGCCCUGGGCCCCCUUUUGGGGGUGGAGGGGGGUAUAUCAGGGCCGCGGAAUAAAAAGAUAAUUAUCUAUCCUAUGC
ensembl:lncRNA